rnacentral:rRNA from 1 species
AUUGAACGCUGGCGGCAUGCCUUACACAUGCAAGUCGAACGGCAGCACGGACUUCGGUCUGGUGGCGAGUGGCGAACGGGUGAGUAAUGUAUCGGAACGUACCAUUGAGUGGGGGACAACGUAGCGAAAGUUACGCUAAUACCGCAUAUACCCCGAGGGGGAAAGCAGGGGAUCUUAGGACCUUGUGCUCUUUGAGCGGCCGAUAUCAGAGUAGCUCGUUGGUGGGGUAAAGGCUCACCAAGGCGACGAUCUGUAGCGGGUCUGAGAGGAUGACCCGCCACCCAGGGACUGGGACACGGCCCAGACGCCAACGGGAGGCAGCAGUGGGGAAUUUUGGACAAUGGGGGCAACCCUGAUGCAGCCAUGCCGGGUGAGUGAAGAAGGCCUUCGGGUUGUAAAGCUCUUUCAGCCGGGAAGAAAUCGUGGUGGCUAAUAUCCAUCAUGGAUGACGGUAUCGGAAGAAGAGGCACCGGCUAACUACGUGCCAGCAGCCGCCGUAAUAC